rnacentral:rRNA from 1 species
GUGGGGAAUCUUGCGCAAUGGGCGAAAGCCUGACGCAGCCAUGCCGCGUGGAUGAUGAAGGUCUUAGGAUUGUAAAAUCCUUUCACCGGUGAAGAUAAUGACUGUAGCCGGAGAAGAAGCCCCGGCUAACUUCGUGCCAGCAGCCGCGGUAAUACGAAGGGGGCUAGCGUUGCUCGGAUUUACUGGGCGUAAAGGGCGCGUAGGCGGACAUUUAAGUCAGGGGUGAAAUCCAGGGGCUCAACCUCGGAACUGCCUUUGAUACUGGGUGUCUUGAGUAUGAGAGAGGUGUGUGGAACUCCGAGUGUAGAGGUGAAAUUCGUAGAUAUUCGGAAGAACACCAGUGGCGAAGGCGACACACUGGCUCAUUACUGACGCUGAGGCGCGAAAGCGUGGGGAGCAAACAGGAUUAGAUACCCCGGUAGUCC